UGCAAAGAGAAAAAAAAUCCCUUUCUCCACUUCCUUUUCUCUUCAGACUUUCAUGAUCAGUCCUAGAGCGGGACCGUAGAGGCAACGUCUACUGGGACAGAAGGGCUGCCUCAUAGCUAACCAGCUGUCAUUGGCCCUUAGAGGCUGAGAGACAUCCUGAAGUUUCUAAGGAAAGUUGAAGAAAGCCCUGGGAUACACCCUACUGUACCUGGAGCAGACCACUGGGGAUAGAAGACAUGCUCUGCACUGCUCUGGACAUUUGGGCUGGGAAAGGUCAGAGGGAGGCUUCAGUAGGCAUGAAGCGUACUGGAAUUUGGCCUACAGUGGACAAACACACAGAUCUUCAUCGCUACAAAAAACAUCCCUUGAUGUUGCCCCAUCCAUUCAAACCAAACCUCAGAGAGCCCCAGGAAGAAGAACUCAUAGAUGUUUACAGUGCUGGUCGGCAUUGUUUAAAAGUUGCAGGCUUCGGAAAAAGAACAACCAAAAUUUUUGCCAGCUGGGAGAUGAAAAUGACAUGGAAAGGAGGCCACUGAGAGAGAAAGAGAAUGCUCGAGCACAAGCAGAGGAAACAGCAGGCAGAGGGAGAAGCAGGCUCCCCGCUGAGCAGAGAGCCCGAUGGAUGCAUCUCAGGACCCUGGGAUCAUGACCUGAGCUGAAGGCAGACGUUCCACCGACUGGCCACUCAGGCGCCCCUAAAUGUGUAUAUUUUUGAAAUUUCUUCUUCUCUUUUUAAAAACAAAUUAAAAAUCAAAAGCAUAUAUGGUCAAAAGCCAGUUUGUUCUUGAUCCUAAUCACUAGCUCUCCUCUUCAGACUCGAACCCUUUUCCCAGUUUCUUAUGGUUCCAGAGCCAGGACUCUGUCAUUUUAAUAAGCGACUGAGGCAUUCUUACAGCCCGG
rnacentral:lncRNA from 1 species